AGUUCAGUCCUCACCACAAGGUGCCACUGUCAUCCAGGGAGAAACUUUCACAGUAUUAUUAGAGUGAACAAUUUGAUGUUUUGAAUAAAAAGCAGUGCCUCAAAUAGCAUGGGUGAUCCAUAAGUGCAGGAGCAAGCUUCCACAGAUGGACCACAUUGCUGGAUAUUACUAGUGUGUGCUGUAAGGUGUCUCUCCUGCAUCUAAUGCUGAAGGUUGGAUGAUACCAAAACAAAGGGUGGGCGGUCAACAAAGUCUAUUAGAUACAAGUUAUCCAAGUGAGAACAUUUCAUAACCACCAGAAUAUAUUCAAAGGAAAUCCUGCUCCACAUUAACAAGAACAGGGAACAUGUUGUCAAGAGUUCAGCAAAGAAGCUUUCAUUUCCCCUAAUUCAACAUGUCAACAAUCAAAGGUAUCUCAUCUUAAGGAACCUAUAUCCAUUUUAAAGAUGCAUUAUAGCACCAUAGAAUUGGAAGAGUAUCAAAAGGCAAUCUAGACAAGCCCCUGCAAAAAGACUGCCAUCUAGAGAUUAGCUUCCACCCUCAUGAAUCAAGCAAGUGUGACACAUCAUCAGAGCAAGUGCACUGCAUGAUGGUGCAAGAAGAUGUCCAAAUUAUUUAAGGAAACUUAUUAUUUAAGAAAACAUGGACACCUAUACAUUAGGAAGUGACUCUGUGCCUAUAGGUGCUGAUGAAAUUGCCCUCUCGAACUAAAAGCUGGUAACCAGAACAUUGUGACUUCCAAUACAUAAGCCUAAUCCCAGUCCACCUCUUCCUAAAUCCAUUUUAUUUACCCAAUGGCAAGUCAUACAAUUGAUGUACAUUUAUGAAUAGAAAUAUAAGUAGCCUAUUGCUUAACGUUGAAGCUGAAAGGUGGGCAGGGGGAGUUUAUUAGAGCAUAGUACACAUAUUCUCAUGAACCAAAUAGCAGACUAUAUGAUUUGCAUGCAGAAUGUAGUUUGUGCAUAAAACUGGAAAAUCUGGUUUGGUUUGAAUAGAACUGGACUCGAGCCUAACUGGGUCUGGUUCAGUUUUGUGCACGGGUGAGCCAGGCCUGGUUUGGCUCGAGUCCAAACUGUUGCACUUGAAUUGAGGGGUGUGUGGAGCUGUAAUUUAAAAAACAAUA